CCUACGGGAGGUAGCAGUGGGGAAUAUUGCGCAAUGGGCGAAAGCCUGACGCAGCGACGCCGCGUGAGGGAUGAAGGUCUUCGGAUCGUAAACCUCUGUCAGCAGGGAAGAACGGUCACUGUGCUAAUCAGCAGUGCAUUGACGGUACCUGCAAAGGAAGCACCGGCUAACUCCGUGCCAGCAGCCGCGGUAAUACGGAGGGUGCGAGCGUUAUUCGGAAUUAGUGGGCGUAAAGCGACAGUAUACGGUAUGUCAAGUCAAGGGUGAAAUCCCCGCGCUCAACGUGGGAACUGCCUUUGAAACUGGCAAACUGGAGUGUGUGAGAGGAGAGUGGAAUUCCAGGUGUAGCAGUGAAAUCCGUAGAUAUCUGGAGGAACAUCAGUGGCGAAGGCGACUAUCUGGCACAUAACUGACGCUGAGGAGCGAAAGCGUGGGUAGCAAACAGGAUUAGAUACCCGAGUAGUC
rnacentral:rRNA from 1 species